UACGUAGGGUGCAGGCGUUAAUCGGAAUUACUGGGCGUAAAGCGUGCGUAGGCGGUUUGUUAAGACAGGUGUGAAAUCCCCGGGCUUAACCUGGGAACUGCGCUUGUUACUGGCAGACUGGAGUGUGGCAGAGGGGGGUGGAAUUCCAGGUGUAGCAGUGAAAUGCGUAGAUAUCUGGAGGAACACCGAUGGCGAAGGCAGCCCCCUGGGUCAAGAUUGACGCUCGAUGCACGAAAGCGUGGGGAGCAAACAGG
rnacentral:rRNA from 1 species